AUACCUUUCUCGGCCUUUUGGCUAAGAUCAAGUGUAGUAUCUGUUCUUAUCAGUUUAAUAUCUGAUAUGUGGGCCAUAUGCCCACAAUGAUAUUAAAUUUAUUUUUUGUGAGGGAGGGUCCACCACAGUGGCUUGCCAUUGGGGCCCUUGGGUGUCGCCUGGGCGUUGCACUAUAGCCCAGGCAGGCGCACCCCAA
rfam:Triticum aestivum genome assembly, contig: Triticum_aestivum_CS42_TGACv1_scaffold_569799_7AS